GCAGUGGCAGCUACCAAGAUUCUGUUACACUUGAGAAAAUGGUGACUCAUCUGAGAGACCUCGGGGAGGGCGAGGAAGCCAAGCCACAGCCUUGAAAUCAUCAAGACUCUUUUCACCAUAAUGAGUUUGUGUGCGGGAGAAGGUGCUUAAGGUGAAAACUGAAUAAACUAAUCCAGAGGAAACUGUUGGACCAGAGUUAAGAAUUAUCAAUGUCACACUCACAGGACAUUGACUUUGACCACACAAACAUAACUGCAAGUCUGCGUGCUUGCUGACCCUGACAGCUCGUAUAAGGA